rnacentral:rRNA from 1 species
GAACGAACGCUGGCGGCGUGGAUAAGACAUGCAAGUCGAGCGCAAUUUAUUCGGUAGCAAUAUCGGGUAAGUUGAGCGGCGCAAGGGUGCGUAACACGUGGGUAAUUUGCCAUAAAGUUGGGGAUAACUUGCUGAAAGGCGAGCUAAUACCGAAUGUGGUUGUCGGGAGGCAUCUCCUGAUUACUAGAAGUUGGGGAUCGUAAGACCUGACGCUUUAUGAUAAGCCCGCGGCCUAUCAGCUAGUUGGUGAGGUAAAGCUCACCAAGGCUAAGACGGGUAGCUGGUCUGAGAGGACGACCAGCCACACUGGAA